rnacentral:piRNA from 1 species
UGAUCCAAUUUUUCCCGUGCACUAAAGC